rnacentral:rRNA from 1 species
AUUGAACGCUGGCGGCAUGCUUUACACAUGCAAGUCGGACGGCAGCACAGAGAAGCUUGCUUCUUGGGUGGCGAGUGGCGGACGGGUGAGUAAUAUAUCGGAACGUACCGAGUAAUGGGGGAUAACUAAUCGAAAGAUUAGCUAAUACCGCAUAUUCUCUGAGGAGGAAAGCAGGGGACCUUCGGGCCUUGCGUUAUUCGAGCGGCCGAUAUCUGAUUAGCUAGUUGGUGGGGUAAAGGCCUACCAAGGCGACGAUCAGUAGCGGGUCUGAGAGGAUGAUCCGCCACACUGGGACUGAGACACGGCCCAGACUCCUACGGGAGGCAGCAGUGGGGAAUUUUGGACAAUGGGCGCAAGCCUGAUCCAGCCAUGCCGCGUGUCUGAAGAAGGCCUUCGGGUUGUAAAGGACUUUUGUCAGGGAAGAAAAGGCUGUUGCUAAUACCGACAGCUGAUGACGGUACCUGAAGAAUAAGCACCGGCUAACUACGUG